CAAGUCGAACGGUAGAGGGGGCAACCCCUCGAGAGUGGCGAACGGGUGAGUAAUAUAUCGGAACGUGCCCAGUCGUGGGGGAUAACGUAGCGAAAGUUACGCUAAUACCGCAUACGAUCUACGGAUGAAAGCGGGGGACCGUAAGGCCUCGCGCGAUUGGAGCGGCCGAUAUCAGAUUAGGUAGUUGGUGGGGUAAAGGCUCACCAAGCCAACGAUCUGUAGCUGGUCUGAGAGGACGACCAGCCACACUGGAACUGAGACACGGUCCAGACUCCUACGGGAGGCAGCAGUGGGGAAUUUUGGACAAUGGACGCAAGUCUGAUCCAGCCAUUCCGCGUGCAGGAUGAAGGCCCUCGGGUUGUAAACUGCUUUUGUACGGAACGAAAAGGUUUCCAUUAAUACUGGGAGCUCAUGACGGUACCGUAAGAAUAAGCACCGGCUAACUACGUGCCAGCAGCCGCGGUAAUACGUAGGGUGCAAGCGUUAAUCGGAAUUACUGGGCGUAAAGCGUGCGCAGGCGGUUAUGUAAGACAGAGGUGAAAUCCCCGGGCUCAACCUGGGAACUGCCUUUGUGACUGCAUAGCUAGAGUACGGUAGAGGGGGAUGGAAUUCCGCGUGUAGCAGUGAAAUGCGUAGAUAUGCGGAGGAACACCGAUGGCGAAGGCAAUCCCCUGGACCUGUACUGACGCUCAUGCACGAAAGCGUGGGGGAGCAAACAGGAUUAGAUACCCUGUAGUCCACGCCCUAAACGAUGUCAACUGGUUGUUGGGUCUUCACUGACUCAGUAACGAAGCUAACGCGUGAAGUUGACCGCCUGGGGAGUACGGCCGCAAGGUUGAAACUCAAAGGAAUUGACGG
rnacentral:rRNA from 1 species